rnacentral:lncRNA from 1 species
CAUUCCGAGUCCGGCGGACGAACUUCGCCCGCGCCCCCCACCAAGGCUAUAGCCCACCCGUUUUCUGGCCAUUUUUCCGCUGGGGGGUUUUGGCACCACGACCUUCGGGCGCUUAUUUUUGGGCGCAGCUGUGCCCGCGACUACCCGCGGGCACCUCGAGGCCCCUUGCAAAGUCUCGCCCCAUUCCGAGUCCGGCGGACGAACUUCGCCCGCGCCCCCCACCAAGGCUAUAGCCCACCCAUUUUUUGGCCAUUUUUCCGCUGGGGGGUUUUGGCACCACGACCUUCGGGCGCUUAUUUUUGGACGCGGCUUUGCCCGCGACUUUCCGCGGGCACCCCGAGGCCCCUCGCAAAGUCUCGCCCCAUUCCGAGUCCGGCGGACGAACUUCGCCCGCGCCCCCCACCAAGGCUAUAGCCCACCCGUUUUUUGGCCAUUUUUCCGCUGGGGGGUUUUGGCACUACGACCUUCGGGCGCUUAUUUUUGUGCGCGGCUUGGCCUGCGGCUUAUUUUUGGCACCCCGAGGCCCCUCGCAAAGUAUCGCCCCAUUCCGAGUCCGGCGAACGAACUUCGCCCGCACCCCCCACCAAAGCUCUAGCCCACCCGUUUUUUGGCCAUUUUUCCGCUGGGGGGUUUUGGCACCACGACCUUCGGGCGCCUAUUUUUGGGCGCGGCUUUGCCCGCGGCUUAUUUUUGGCAGCCCGAUGCCCCUCGCAAAGUCUCGCCCCAUUCCGAGUCCGGCGGACGAACUUCGCCCGCGCCCCCCACCAAGGCUAUAGCCCACCCGUUUUUUAGCCAUUUUUCCGCUGGGGGGUUUUGGCACCACGACCUUCGGGCGCUUGUUUUUGGGCGCGGCUUUGCCCGCGGCUUAUUUUUGGCACCCCGAGGCCCCUCGCAAAGUCUCGCCCCAUUCCGAGUGCGGCGGACGAACUUCGCCCGCGCCCCCCACCAAGGGUAUAGCCCACCCGUUUUUUGGCCAUUUUUCCGCUGGGGGGUGUUGGCACCACGACCUUCGGGCGCUUAUUUUUGGGCGCGGGUUUGCCCGCGGCUUAUUUUUGGCACCACGAGGCCCCUCGCAAAGUCUGGCCCCAUUCUGAGUCCGGCAGACGAACUUCGCCAGCGCCCCCCACCUAGGCUAUAGCCCACGACCCGUUUUUUGGCCAUUUCUCCGCUGGGCGGUUUUGGCACCACGACCUUCGGGCCCUUAUUUUUGGGCGCGGGUUUGCCCGCUGCUUAUUUUUAGCACCCCGAGGCCCCUCGCAAAGUCUCGCCCCAUUCCGAGUCCGGCGGACGAACUUCGCCCGCGCCCCCCACCUAGGCUAUAGACCACCCGUUUUUUGGCCAUUUGUCCGCUGGGGGGUUUUGGCACCACGACCUUCGGGCGCUUAUUUUUGGGCGCGGCUUUGGCCGCGGCUUAUUUUUGGCACCCCCAGGCCCCUCCCAAAGUCUUGCCCCAUUCCGAGUCCGGCGGACGAACUUCGCCCGCGCCCCCCCCAAGGCUAUAGCCCACGACCCGUUUUUUGGCCUUUUUCCGCUGGGGGGUUUUGCACCACGACCUUCGGGCGCCUAUUUUUGGGCGCGGCUUUGCCCGCGGCUUAUUUUUGGCACCCCGAGGCCCCUCGCAAAGUCUCGUCCCAUUCCGAGUCCGGCGGACGAACUUCGCCCGCGCCCCCCACCAACGAUAUAGCCCACCCGUUUUUUGGCCAUUUUUCCGCUGGGGGGUGUGGGCACCACGACCUUCGGGCGCUUAUUUUUGGGCGCGGGUUUGCCCGCGGCUUAUUUUUGGCACCCCGAGGCCCCUCGCAAAGUCUCGCCCCAUUCCGAGUCCGGCGGACGAACUUCGCCCGCGCCCCCCACCAAGGCUAUAGCCCACCCGUUUUUUGGCCAUUUUUCAGCUGGGGGGUUUUGGCACCACGACCUUCGGGCGCUUAUUUUUGGGCGCGGGUUUGCCCGCGGCUUAUUUUUGGCACCACGAGGCCCCUCGCAAAGUCUCGCCCCAUUCUGAGUCCGGCAGACGAACUUCGCCAGCGCCCCCCACCUAGGCUAUAGCCCACGACCCGUUUUUUGGCCAUUUCUCCGCUGGGCGGUUUUGGCACCACGACCUUCGGGCGCUUAUUUUUGGGCGCGGGUUUGCCCGCUGCUUAUUUUUAGCACCCCGAGGCCCCUCGCAAAGUCUCGCCCCAUUCCGAGUCCGGCGGACGAACUUCGCCCGCGCCCCCCACCUAGGCUAUAGACCACCCGUUUUUUGGCCAUUUGUCCGCUGGGGGGUUUUGGCACCACGACCUUCGGGCGCUUAUUUUUGGGCGCGGCUUUGGCCGCGGCUUAUUUUUGGCACCCCGAGGCCCCUCGCAAAGUCUUGCCCCAUUCCGAGUCCGGCGGACGAACUUCGCCCGCGCCCCCCACCAAGGCUAUAGCCCACGACCCGUUUUUUGGCCAUUUUUCCGCUGGGGGGUUUUUGCACCACGACCUUCGGGCGCUUAUUUUUGGGCGCGGCUUGCCCGCGGCUUAUUUUUGGUACCCCGAGGCCCCUCGCAAAGUCUCGCCCCAUUCCGAGUCCGGCGGACGAACUUCGCCCGCGCCCCCCACCAACGCUAUAGCCCACCCGUUUUUUGGCCAUUUUUCCGCUGGGGGGUGCUGGCACCACGACCUUCGGGCGCUUAUUUUUGGGCGCGGGUUUGCCCGCGGCUUAGUUUUGGCACCCCGAGGCCCCUCGCAAACUCUCGCCCCAUUCCGAGUCCGGCAGACGAACUUCGCCCGCGCCCCCCACCAAGGCUAUAGCCCACGACCCGUUUUUUGGCCAUUUCUCCGCUGGGCGGUUNNNNNNNNNNNNNNNNNNNNNNNNNNNNNNNNNNNNNNNNNNNNNNNNNNNNNNNNNNNNNNNNNNNNNNNNNNNNNNNNNNNNNNNNNNNNNNNNNNNNCACGACCUUCGGGCGCUUAUUUUUGGGCGUGGGUUUGCCCGCUGAUUAUUUUUGGCACCCUGAGGCCCUUCGCAAAGUCUCGCCCCAUUCUGAGUCCGGCGGACGAACUUCGCCCGCGCCCCCCACCUAGGCUAUAGACCACCCGUUUUUUGGCCAUUUUUCCGCUGGGGGGUUUUGGCACCACGACCUUCGGGCGCUUAUUUUUGGACGCGGCUUUGCCCGCGGCUUAUUUUUGGCACCCCGAGGCCCCUCGCAAAGUCUUGCCCCAUUCCGAGUCCGGCGGACGAACUUCGCCCGCGGCCCCCAGCAAGGCUAUAGCCCACGACCCGUUUUUUGGCCAUUUUUCCGCUGGGGGGUUUUGGCACCACGACCUUCGGGCGCUUAUUUUUGGGCGCGGCUUUGCCCGCGGCUUAUUUUUGGCACCCCGAGGCCCCUCGCAAAGUCUCGCCCCAUUCCGAGUCCGGCGGACGAACUUCGCCCGCGCCCCCCACCAAGGCUAUAGCCCACGACCCGUUUUUUUGCCAUUUUUCCGCUGGGGGGUUUUUGCACCACGACCUUCGGGCGCUUAUUUUUGGGCGCGGCUUUGGCCGCGGCUUAUUUUUGGUACCCCGCGGCCCCUCGCAAAGUCUCGCCCCAUUCCGAGUCCGGCGGACGAACUUCGCCCGCGCCCCCCACCUAGGUUAUAGACCACCCGUUUUUUGGCCAUUUUUCCGCUGGGGGGUUUUGGCACCACUACCUUCGGGCGCUUAUUUUUGGACGCGGCUUUGCCCACGGCUUAUUUUUGGCACCCCGAGGCCCCUCGCAAAGUCUUGCCCCAUUCCGAGUCCGGCGGACGAACUUCGCCCGCGGCCCCCAGCAAGGCUAUAGCCCACGACCCGUUUUUUGGCCAUUUUUCCGCUGGGGGGUUUUGGCACCACGACCUUCGGGCGCUUAUUUUUGGACGCGGCUUUGCCCGCGGCUUAUUUUUGGCACCCCGAGGCCCCUCGCAAAGUCUCGCCCCAUUCCGAGUCCGGCGGACGAACUUCGCCCGCGCCCCCCACCAAGGCUAUAGCCCACGACCCGUUUUUUGGCCAUUUUUCCGCUGGGGGGUUUUUGCACCACGACCUUCGGGCGCUUAUUUUUGGGCGCGGCUUUGCCCGCGGCUUAUUUUUGGCACCCCGAGGCCCCUCGCAAAGUCUCGCCCCAUUCCGAGUCCGGCGGACGAACUUCCCCCGUGCCCCCCACCAAGGCUAUAG